rnacentral:rRNA from 1 species
UACGUAGGGUGCGAGCGUUAAUCGGAAUUCUGGGCGUAAAGCGUGCGCAGGCGGUCUGUUAAGACCGAUGUGAAAUCCCCGGGCUUAACCUGGGAACUGCAUUGGUGACUGGCAGGCUUUGAGUGUGGCAGAGGGAGGUAGAAUUCCACGUGUAGCAGUGAAAUGCGUAGAGAUGUGGAGGAAUACCGAUGGCGAAGGCCAGCCUCCUGGGCCAACACUGACGCUCAUGCACGAAAGCGUGGGGAGCAAACAGG